rnacentral:rRNA from 1 species
UACGUAGGGGGCAAGCGUUGUCCGGAAUCAUUGGGCGUAAAGAGCGUGUAGGCGGCUUGGUAAGUCCGCUGUGAAAGUCCAGGGCUCAACCCUGGAAAGCCGGUGGAAACUGUCAAGCUUGAGUCCGGAAGAGGCGAGUGGAAUUCCUGGUGUAGCGGUGAAAUGCGCAGAUAUCAGGAGGAACACCGAUGGCGAAGGCAGGUCUCUGGGCCGAUACUGACGCUGAGGAGCGAAAGCGUGGGGAGCGAACAGG